CAUGGUACAAUAUGUACUAAGGUAUAUAACCGUGGUAUACCACGGUCCUUGUACCACCAGUGUGUCUUUAGUAUAACCGUGGUAUACCACGGUCCUUGUACCACCAGUGUGUCUUUAGUAUUAGUGCGCAUGAUAGUACAUCCAUGCGUGCAUGAUGCGCACUACUAAUGAAAUAUAUCAAAUUGUCGAGUGCUCAAUCGCGCGGUCCGGUUUGGUGGCGGCCCGACAAUAAUAUCUUCCAAUGAUAAAAAUGCAAUAAUCGUUGGAGUUCUGUGAUGAAUGUGUGUUUAUUUUUUAUAAAACCAAAAAAAAAGGUUUUCCGUGUGUUUGAUUUCUGAGGCCUGAUAUAUUUACUGAUGGUUGGAUUAGUUAGUUUUGAUUGUGAUUUGUGUUAAAAAUAUAAUAGUUCUGCAUAAAAAACAAAGUUUCUCCGCACAUAUCGGCAGCUCAGAUUUUCAAACCAAGCGAAUAGUUUAAUGGCUGAUUAUUGUUACCGAUGCGGCUUCUCCCGAUAUUCAACACCCAUUAUGAGCUUCUGUACCGAGAAAAUAAAGUGAAGUUUUUCGAUUUUUGUGUGUGCGAAAUAUGUGUAUUAUCUAAUGCAAACAUUCGGCAAUAUUUAAAAGUGGCUCUUAUCAAUAAACAAAAAUGAAAUAUAACUGUUGUGUUUGUUAUUUAUGAAGCUAGAAAAAUAACCAAUUAUGCUCGUUCAACUAGUGAAGAUACGGGAUACGGUGCGUGGUUUUUGCUUCAUAUCGUUCUACUGUUUUUAAACUGCAUACCAUACCGUUUUUGUCCGAAAAAACAUAUUAUACCUGAACAGUAACACAUACUGUGUAGCGAAAAAAAUGUACUGAAAAAUUUCCUUUUUUGUAUGUUAAU